AUUGAACGCUGGCGGCAUGCUUUACACAUGCAAGUCGAACGGUAACAGGUUAAGCUGACGAGUGGCGAACGGGUGAGUAAUGCAUCGGAACGUGCCCGGUCGUGGGGGAUAACGCAGCGAAAGCUGCGCUAAUACCGCAUACGAUCUAAGGAUGAAAGCGGGGGACCGUAAGGCCUCGCGCGAUCGGAGCGGCGGAGGUCAGAUUAGGUAGUUGGUGGGGUAAAGGCUCACCAAGCCAACGAUCUGUAGCUGGUCUGAGAGGACGACCAGCCACACUGGGACUGAGACACGGCCCAGACUCCUACGGGAGGCGGCAGUGGGGAAUUUUGGACAAUGGGCGAAAGCCUGAUCCAGCAAUGCCGCGUGCAGGAAGAAGGCCUUCGGGUUGUAAACUGCUUUUGUACGGAGCGAAAAGGUCUCCUCUAAUACAGGGGGCUCAUGACGGUACCGUAAGAAUAAGCACCGGCUAACUACGUGCCAGCAGCCGCCGCCG
rnacentral:rRNA from 1 species